rnacentral:lncRNA from 1 species
GGACCUCUGCUCACUCUGGUCAACUCUGCCCCCUCAGUCCCUGCUUGCUCCGGCCCAAAGAGUUCUUUAUUAUUAUACAUAAGUGCACUGUAGCUGACUUCAGAUGCACCAGCAGAGGGCGUCAGACCUCAUUACGAGUGGUUGUGAGCCACCAUGUGGUUGCUGGGACUUGAACUCGGGACCUCCGGAAGAGCAGUCAGUACUUUUACUCACUGAGCCAUCUCUCCAGCCCCAGUGUGCAUUUUUGAUCCCAGGACUCCAGUGUUGUUGUCAGAAGAGUGAGAAGUUUAACGUAAUCUACAAAUUCAAGUUUGAGGCCAGACUCGGCAAUGUAAGGCCCUGUCUUAAAACAGAGAAAGAAAAAUGUGGAGCAAGAAGGAGAGAACAAAUGAACCUGGGAUGGAAGGACCUCAGCAGAGGGCCACAACUCAUUGCUCUCAGUGGAUGGCUAGAGUAGUUUUCAUAUUCUGACGGCAGAUCCAAGGUUGAGCAAAGAGAAAAAAGGAGCCAAACAUGGAUGAAGCGAUAGAAAGAAACCACAGGGAAGCCCUCUGGGGACACUCUUAAAAGAAUCUGAACAUUCAAACAGAAUUCUGUUUUUUUUUUCUUGUAAAAAUUCUGUCUUAGGUUUUCCGGACCUGACAGCCCCAGCUGAAACUACUCAACUCACUGUUGCCGUGAGAAGCAGCCCUUGGUACUUGUGAAAUAGUGAAUAGUCAUGGCUAUAUUUCAAUAAAACUUUAUUUACCACAGCGGGCAGCUAGUCAGGCAUGAACUGGGCAGUGAUCUGCUGUUCUGAACUGCAGCUCUCUGCACCAGCGCAAUAUGAACCCAGGGGGGUAAAAUGCUGCCGAUGCCAUCCAUGUACAGUCCCUGCGGGCUGCCCCCAAGGAGCCUGUGAGCAGGAGGACGUCACAAAAGGAGAGGAUACAAUGUUGCAGUUGGGGAUGUGGAGCAUGAGG